UGCGCAUCCUACAUCAUUGAACAUGCCAUAAAAGGAAACGUUAUGCUUAAUAUAUUUUUAAAUCUAAAAAUCGAUCCAUAUUUUGCACACUCAUUAAGUAAAUAUCAGGAGCUGAAAUUCAAAUUGAUACGAUGAUUAAAAUUGGCAAUUGUUCAGGACGUUAUUCAAACGAAGUCACAACCACUCCACUUGAAUCAAACCGAUAAACAUACCAAGACUGAUUUAUUUUUUUUUUACCUACAAAAUAAAAAGCCUAACUACAUCCUCCAGUCACAAACUAAAAAAAAAAAUCAUAAGCCUUUUGAAGGCAACUACAAUAUAGUUAAAAGUACCCAGUUUUUGCAAUGUAGAAAUUCGUCAGCACUCAAUAGUCCGACCUACAUUAAGUUGGCUGCUCACGUAUAUGGAACAGUACGCACAUACACAAAUUACAAUUGGAAACAAAAAAACUUCACCUGCACAAGACCAGCAACUCUGAGGGGAGAGAUUAGUCACAGUAUUAUACUAGUCAGGUGACUAAUAUUUUAUUGCAUCAACAUCAAGAGGAUGAAAAGCAAAGCUGACCAAAGCAGGAUUUGAAAUCAGAAUAUGACUGGAAGAAAUACUUCAAGUCACUUACAGAUGAAGCUAGCUCCCAUACACAAUGGACCAUAAAACAACAAAUAAGCUGUGGACACAAACAUCUUGAAGAAGAUAUCUUCUACAUUGUAAUGACCAUAAUAACCAUAUAAAUAAAAUGACAAUCUCA
rnacentral:lncRNA from 1 species